ensembl:lncRNA
CACAACUUCAGCAACCAUCAUAGAUGCCGAACUGUUUUCCAGGUCUGGCAAAUCGGUCGUGGGCAGGAGGUCAUGCUGGUCACAGGCUUGGGUUGUGGAGUCAAGACAGACCUGAAUUCAAAUCCCACCUCUGCUAUGUACUAGCUGUGUGAUCUGGACAAGCGACUUAUCCUCUCUGGGCCUCUGUUCCUUCAGCCAGGCAGCCAGGUGGCACAGCACAGGGAGACAGUCUCUCACAUUAUCAUACCAGAGGGUGACAAUUUUAACAGGCUACGGAGUGAACACUAACCCUGGAGCCCAGAAAGGAGCAGCACUGGCAAUACUACCUCCCUGGAUUAUUCUUGCCAGCAGUCACUAUGGCAAGAACAAGCACUCAGCAAUCAACCCAAUAAUCCCCCCAUUUCACAGAAGAGGACACCGAGGUUCAGAGAGCCAACAGAAUGUGGGCAGAAGUGAUGUGCUAGUUCUGAGCCAAGCUGUAAGGAAACCUUCCAUGUAUCUGCUCACCUCCUUGUGCUUCAGCUAUUCACCAUGAAAGGAACAUACCUGAGCUGUUGCGGAGCCAAAGAGGGUGAAAGACACAUAGAAGAAGCAUGUGGAAUAUGCUGGAACUCAUCAGCAACCAGAGGCCAAGCCCCAGAU